UACGGGGGGAGCAAACGUUGUUCGGAAUCACUGGGCGUAAAGGGCGCGUAGGCGGCUGAAUAAGUGGGAUGUUAAAUCCCCGGGCUCAACCCGGGACCUGCAUCUCAUACUGUUCAGCUCGAGCACAUCAGAGGAGACUGGAAUUCCCGGUGUAGCGGUGAAAUGCGUAGAUAUUGGGAGGAACACCAGUGGCGAAGGCGGCUCGCUGGACCGGUUCUGACGCUGAUGCGCGAAAGCGUGGGGAGCAAACGGG
rnacentral:rRNA from 1 species